UUGACCGCUGACCCUCACUGAUGCCCUCUCCAAGGUUCAUUCAGCCUUCCUCAGCUCAGCCAACAAGUUUGAGUGUCUGGACAUGGGAUAUAAACUGAGGCUGAGGAGGAUUGUGAAGCUCCCUCAUUGAAUGUGACCAGUGCAAAGCAGCAAAAUUAACACAGACUACAGGGGUGAAUUUGCUCGCUGUCUGGAGCCCUUACUGCUGCUGGGACAGCGCCGCCCAGCCUCCAUCACCGGGGCAACUAGUAUCGCAGCUCUGUGAGUGUUUUUGGCCUUAAAAUAUAAUCGUUGGCUUGAAAGGCUUUGAA